ensembl:lncRNA
GGGACAAGCCCCAGGAUAGGUUACUAAGCUUGCCAGGGAUCUGAAAUAUCCCCUGAUUUGCAGCCUGCUGGAAAUGUUCAGACCUCAAACUUUUCUGUCGAACACGGACUUAAAAUUGGGUUUAAUUCUUAACGUGGGGUAAUGACUUCCCCCUCCCUGGCCUAUUCGAGGACCCUCACUGUUCACCGAAUCGCGCCAGUGUAACGUACCUUGUUCAGCUCUUGGUCAUAAAGUUGUCCUCAGCCUGUCUGUGUGGUCCUGAAGGGUCGGUGGCGGGCAGUUUCCAAAAUUGAGGUAAUAGGAGAUCAGAUGAAUUUGAGACGACCGGCCAAGAAAAAUAAAAAAUUUAAAAACAACAUUUAAAAAGGAUGGGGGAGUCUCAAAUGUUUAGGUCUCCCCCACUUAAAAUAAAAUCACUAGUAUUUUUUAAUAUUUCCGUUGCACUUCAAUCUUCUAACUCUUAAAAGAAAAUGUUAUCUGUGCUUUGAAAAUAAAUUAACUUUAUUUUAUUUUAUGCUCUAGUUCCUUUCCCCUAAUAUCGGAAAGUCUCUGCUCUCUUUUUGUAUUAAAGAGAAAAAAAAAAAAAAAGCCUGGUGAAAACUCAGCAGAACCCAGGAAGCGUAGAAUCAGGAGAAUGUCUUUGGCUGGGGCUGGUUCAAGUCCCUGGUUCAAUGGGCUGCUGGAAGCCAGGACUGGGUAAUUCUUUCCAGACGUCUUGACUUCUCCUUCCUCGCGGUUGUUGCCUUUCUGCCUCCUCCAACUUAAGGGGGUCUUAACAAGAGGUCCUGGUAAGGAACACGAAACUGAUAAACCACCACAAACUGGAAGAGUUGGGAAAAGAUCAAAAGGAGACACUGCAUGUCUGACCGCCUCCCAGAAUCCUCGCUGGCAUCCAUCUUGGCACCACCAGGAAGGACUCUGAGUCAGAAUGAUUGACCAAAGACAACCCGGAAACUAGUCCCAUCACCAUAAAACCCAAGACUGGGAGAGCAAUUCUCCUGGGUUUCCUCACUCUACUGCUCACCUCCCAGGCGCCCUUUCCAAUAA